rnacentral:rRNA from 1 species
GAUGAACGCUGGCGGCAUGCCUAACACAUGCAAGUCGAACGAGACCUUCGGGUCUAUUGUCGCACGGGUGCGUAACGCGUGGGAAUCUGCCCUUGGGUGCGGACUAACAGUUAGAAAUGACUGCUAAUACCGGAUAAUGACGUAAGCCCAACGAUUUAUCGCCCAAGGAUGAGCCCGCGUGGGAAUAGCUUGUUGGUGAGGUAAAGGCUCACCAAGGCGACAAUCCUUAGCUGGUCUGAGAGGAUGAUCAGACACACUGGGACUGAGACACGGACGAGACUCCUACGGGAGGAAGCAGUGGUGAAUAUUGGACAAUGGGCGAAGGCUUGAUCCAGCAAUGCCGCGUGAGUGAUGAAGGCCUUAGGGUUGUAAAGCUCUUUUACACGGGAUGAUAAUGACAGUACCGGGAGAAUAAGCCCCGGCUAACUCCGUGCCAGCAGCCGCCGUAACAC